CUACGGGUCGCUGCAGUGAGAAAUAUUGCGCAAUGGGGGAAACCCUGACGCAGCGACGCCGCGUGGAUGAUGAAGGCCUUAGGGUCGUAAAAUCCUGUCAGGUGGGAAGAAGUGGAUAUAGAUUAAUACUCUAUUUCUUUGACGGUACCACCAAAGGAAGCACCGGCUAACUCCGUGCCAGCAGCCGCGGUGAAUACGGAGGGUGCAAACGUUGUUCGGAAUUACUGGGCGUAAAGCGCGCGUAGGCGGUUUGUUAAGUCAGAUGUGAAAGUCCAUGUCUCAACUAUGGAAGUGCAUUUGAAACUGGCAGACUUGAGUACUGGAGGGGGUGAUGGAAUUCCCGGUGUAGAGGUGAAAUUCGUAGAUAUCGGGAGGAAUACCGGUGGCGAAGGCGAUCACCUGGCCAGAUACUGACGCUGAGGUGCGAAAGCGUGGGGAGCAAACAGGAUUAGAUACCCCGGUAGUC
rnacentral:rRNA from 1 species